rnacentral:rRNA from 1 species
AUGCAGUGGAUUGCACUGCCAGGCAAGCAAAUUAAGCUGAUGUUGGCAAGUCCACCCCCAGUUGGCUUAUUAUAUGAUGCACCUAAGCCGGCAAAGGAGAUAAGCCCACAGAAAUUAAGAAGUCAGCACACAGGGUUCAGCUAUGCUCAGGUACACGUGAAGCAAGAGAGACUGAGGAGGAAGAUCAGCGACAGCGAGAAGGCCGCGGCUACGAUGACGAUGAGCAAGUCCAUGGCUGGAGAAGAAGAGAAGAAGAAGGAGGGUUCUAUGGGUGAAGAGAAGAAGAAGGCAGCUUGCACCUCAUGGACCGCAGGGAGGGUGCAUCCAUUCGCGUCUUCCCCGGUGCCGAAGGGUGGGCACCGAUGA